CGGGUGAGUAAUGCGUGACCAACCUGCCCCAUGCUCCAGAAUAGCUCUUGGAAACGGGUGGUAAUGCUGGAUGCUCCAACUUGACGCAUGUCUUGUUGGGAAAGUGUUUAGUGGCAUGGGAUGGGGUCGCGUCCUAUCAGCUUGUAGGCGGGGUAAUGGCCCACCUAGGCUUCGACGGGUAGCCGGCCUGAGAGGGCGGACGGCCACAUUGGGACUGAGAUACGGCCCAGACUCCUACGGGAGGCAGCAGUA
rnacentral:rRNA from 1 species